rnacentral:piRNA from 1 species
UGUGCUUUUCAAGGAAUUGGUCUAUUUCUC